rnacentral:rRNA from 1 species
GGAUGCAAUCAUACCACCGUCGAUGCACUAAAACCCAUUAGAACUCCAUAGUUAUAUGUGUUUGGGUAGAGAGUAUAAGUGCUUGCAUGGGCAACCUUCCAAAAGUCACAGUGUUGCACCCU